GCUGAUGAUGAUUGUGUCCAAUCACCUGAGAUGUAGUGGAACUGAGACCCUGUUUACAGGGAGAACCCCUUGGGGAAAUUGCAUUUCACAUGAAAUUAAUGGAUAAUUCUGAGGC